CAUACCACCCAGGGCUUAAGUCACUCACCCAAAGUCAGGGCUGUUAUUCUCCUCACAGGCCUCAAUUCAUGAGAUUUUUACCCACGCAUCUGCUUUCAGUGUGGUUUGCCUGAGAUACCACCAGGAAUGACUCUGGAUUUGUCUCCCUAACAGGAGAGGUAUCCUUGGAAGUGGUACCAGCAGCUGUGACCCCUGAAGUUGGGACAGUGUUGACAUGGCAACCAAGAGGUUACCUAAUUGGCCCCAGGACACUAUGUGAAUUGCUACUGUUAAUGCCCCAUCAUUACUUCCAUCGUGUAUCUAGUGUGAUGACUCUGACCUGCUACAACUCAGGACAUCAGCUUAUUUGGCUUUUUUCAUCAGGCCUUGCUGCUGGCUUUUGAGUAUUGUAGGUGUGAUUCUGUUAUUGUUUACCUAUUGUGAAAUCUUAACACUCAAACCUUCUAGAGCCAAAAUCAUAAGCGACAGAGAAGAAACAAAACCAGAAAUGAAACAAAGGGGGAUGAAGUGGGGUGGCAGCAAGCCGCCACCUGUGAGUGACAAUGGCGGGGUGUCCCACAAGAUGGUGCUCAUAUAUUUAAUUGCUACAGAACGUGCAGUCAGAACCAUCCCUACUUUAGAAGGGAGAAAAACGAAACUCUGCGGGUGCUGAGUCUCCGUGGCCAUAGCGACAUCCGGCCACAGCUACUCAUGACUGACUGCUCUGCUAGCUGGGCCGCCCCGGGUUCCUUUUCAGGAACUGCUGACACAUCACCUCAUUUCUAAGGCUUUGACCUCCUCCACAUACCCCUUAGAUCUUUUAGUGAUUAAAGUCAACAUUAAAAAAAGAGAAACUUCAUUUACUUUCCUCCAGUCUGAGG